AGAGUUUGAUCCUGGCUCAGGAUGAUCGCUGGCGGCGUGCCUAACACAUGCAAGUCGAGCGAAGCGCCUUACUUGAUUUCUUCGGGAUGAAAGUAUUGUGACUGAGCGGCGGACGGGUGAGUAACGCGUGGAUAACCUGCCUCAUACAGGGGGAUAACAGUUAGAAAUGACUGCUAAUACCGCAUAAGACCACAGCACCGCAUGGUGCAGGGGCAAAAACUCCGGUGGUAUGAGAUGGAUCCGCGUCUGAUUAGCUAGUUGGUAAGGUAACGGCUUACCAAGGCAACGAUCAGUAGCCGACCUGAGAGGGUGACCGGCCACAUUGGGACUGAGACACGGCCCAAACUCCUACGGGAGGCAGCAGUGGGGAAUAUUGCACAAUGGGGGAAACCCUGAUGCAGCGACGCCGCGUGAGCGAUGAAGCAUUUCGGUAUGUAAAGCUCUAUCAGCAGGGAAGAUAAUGACGGUACCUGACUAAGAAGCACCGGCUAAAUACGUGCCAGCAGCCGCGGUAAUACGUAUGGUGCAAGCGUUAUCCGGAUUUACUGGGUGUAAAGGGAGCGUAGACGGAUGGGCAAGUCUGAUGUGAAAACCCGGGGCUCAACCCCGGGACUGCAUUGGAAACUGUUCAUCUAGAGUGCUGGAGAGGUAAGUGGAAUUCCUAGUGUAGCGGUGAAAUGCGUAGAUAUUAGGAGGAACACCAGUGGCGAAGGCGGCUUACUGGACAGUAACUGACGUUGAGGCUCGAAAGCGUGGGGAGCAAACAGAAUUAGAUACCCUGGUAGUCCACGCCGUAAACGAUGACUACUAGGUGUCGGGUGGCAAAGCCAUUCGGUGCCGCAGCAAACGCAUUAAGUACUCCGCCUGGGGAGUACGCACGCAAGUGUGAAACUCAAAGGAAUUGACGGGGACCCGCACAAGUAGCGGAGCAUGUGGUUUAAUUCGAAGCAACGCGAAGAACCUUACCUAGGCUUGACAUCCUUCUGACCGAGGACUAAUCUCCUCUUUCCCUCUGGGGACAGAAGUGACAGGUGGUGCAUGGUUGUCGUCAGCUCGUGUCGUGAGAUGUUGGGUUAAGUCCCGCAACGAGCGCAACCCUUGUCUUUAGUUGCCAUCAUUAAGUUGGGCACUCUAGAGAGACUGCCAGGGAUAACCUGGAGGAAGGUGGGGAUGACGUCAAAUCAUCAUGCCCCUUAUGCCUAGGGCUACACACGUGCUACAAUGGCGGUUACAAAGUGAGGCAAACCCGCGAGGGGGAGCAAACCACAAAAAGGCCGUCCCAGUUCGGACUGUAGUCUGCAACCCGACUACACGAAGCUGGAAUCGCUAGUAAUCGCAAAUCAGAAUGUUGCGGUGAAUACGUUCCCGGGUCUUGCACUCACCGCCCGUCA
rnacentral:rRNA from 1 species